UGCAAGUCGAGCGGAUGAAGGGAGCUUGCUCCUGGAUUCAGCGGCGGACGGGUGAGUAAUGCCUAGGAAUCUGCCUGGUAGUGGGGGAUAACGUCCGGAAACGGGCGCUAAUACCGCAUACGUCCUGAGGGAGAAAGUGGGGGAUCUUCGGACCUCACGCUAUCAGAUGAGCCUAGGUCGGAUUAGCUAGUUGGUGGGGUAAAGGCCUACCAAGGCGACGAUCCGUAACUGGUCUGAGAGGAUGAUCAGUCACACUGGAACUGAGACACGGUCCAGACUCCUACGGGAGGCAGCAGUGGGGAAUAUUGGACAAUGGGCGAAAGCCUGAUCCAGCCAUGCCGCGUGUGUGAAGAAGGUCUUCGGAUUGUAAAGCACUUUAAGUUGGGAGGAAGGGCAGUAAGUUAAUACCUUGCUGUUUUGACGUUACCAACAGAAUAAGCACCGGCUAACUUCGUGCCAGCAGCCGCGGUAAUACGAAGGGUGCAAGCGUUAAUCGGAAUUACUGGGCGUAAAGCGCGCGUAGGUGGUUCAGCAAGUUGGAUGUGAAAUCCCCGGGCUCAACCUGGGAACUGCAUCCAAAACUACUGAGCUAGAGUACGGUAGAGGGUGGUGGAAUUUCCUGUGUAGCGGUGAAAUGCGUAGAUAUAGGAAGGAACACCAGUGGCGAAGGCGACCACCUGGACUGAUACUGACACUGAGGUGCGAAAGCGUGGGGAGCAAACAGGAUUAGAUACCCUGGUAGUCCACGCCGUAAACGAUGUCGACUAGCCGUUGGGAUCCUUGAGAUCUUAGUGGCGCAGCUAACGCGAUAAGUCGACCGCCUGGGGAGUACGGCCGCAAGGUUAAAACUCAAAUGAAUUGACGGGGGCCCGCACAAGCGGUGGAGCAUGUGGUUAAUUCGAAGC
rnacentral:rRNA from 1 species